AGCGAACGCUGGCGGCAGGCCUAACACAUGCAAGUCGAACGGAUCCUUCGGGAUUAGUGGCGGACGGGUGAGUAACACGUGGGAACGUGCCCUUUGGUUCGGAACAACUCAGGGAAACUUGAGCUAAUACCGGAUAAGCCCUUCGGGGAAGGAUUAUCGCCAUUGGAGCGGCCCGCGUCUGAUUAGCUAGUUGGUGAGGUAAAGGACUCACCAAGGCUACGAUCAGUAGCUGGUCUGAGAGGAUGAUCAGCCACAUUGGGACUGAGACACGGCCCAAACUCCUACGGGAGGCAGCAGUGGGGAAGUCUUGCGCAAUGGGCGAAAGCCUGACGCAGCCAUGCCGCGUGAAUGAUGAAGGUCUUAGGAUUGU
rnacentral:rRNA from 1 species